rnacentral:rRNA from 1 species
GAUGAACGCUGGCGGCGUGCCUAAUACAUGCAAGUCGAGCGAACGGACGAGAAGCUUGCUUCUCUGAUGUUAGCGGCGGACGGGUGAGUAACACGUGGAUAACCUACCUAUAAGACUGGGAUAACUUCGGGAAACCGGAGCUAAUACCGGCUAAUAUUUUGAACCGCAUGGUUCACAAGUGAAAGACGGUCUUGCUGUCACUUAUAGAUGGUUCCGCGCUGCAUUAGCUAGUUGGUAAGGUAACGGCUUACCAAGGCAACGAUGCAUAGCCGACCUGAGAGGGUGAUCGGCCACACUGGAACUGAGACACGGUCCAGACUCCUACGGGAGGCAGCAGUAGGGAAUCUUCCGCAAUGGGCGAAAGCCUGACGGAGCAACGCCGCGUGAGUGAUGAAGGUCUUCGGAUCGUAAAACUCUGUUAUUAGGGAAGAACAUAUGUGUAAGUAACUGUGCACAUCUUGACGGUACCUAAUCAGAAAGCCACGGCUAACUACGUG